rnacentral:rRNA from 1 species
CCACAUACGCAUCCUUUGCUGAAGGCAAUGGUUAACGGAGCGAAAGCGACGUUCAACCGCAAAACAAGCAGAGGGGGCUUAGUGGUGGGGUGACUGCGUACCUUUUGUAUAAUGGGUCAGCGACUUAUAUUCUGUAGCAAGGUUAACCGUAUAGGGGAGCCGGAGGGAAACCGAGUCUUAAUUGGGCGUUAAGUUGCAGGGUAUAGACCCGAAACCCGGUGAUCUAGCCAUGGGCAGGUUGAAGGUUGGGUAACACUAACUGGAGGACCGAACCGACUAAUGUUGAAAAAUUAGCGGAUGACCUGUGGCUGGGGGUGAAAGGCCAAUCAAACCGGGAGAUAGCUGGUUCUCCCCGAAAGCUAUUUAGGUAGCGCCUCGUGAAUUCAUCUCCGGGGGUAGAGCACUGUUUCGGCUAGGGGGCCAUCCCGGCUUACCAACCCGAUGCAAACUGCGAAUACCGGAGAAUGUUAUCACGGGAGACACACGGCGGGUGCUAACGUCCGUCGUGAAGAGGGAAACAACCCAGACCGCCAGCUAAGGUCCCAAAGUCAUGGUUAAGUGGGAAACGAUGUGGGAAGGCCCAGACAGCCAGGAUGUUGGCUUAGAAGCAGCCAUCAUUUAAAGAAAGCGUAAUAGCUCACUGGUCGAGUCGGCCUGCGCGGAAGAUGUAACGGGGCUAAACCAUGCACCGAAGCUGCGGCAGCGAACGUAUCACUUAAAGCGAUUCAGCGGGUUACGAUUGACGGAGCGAAGCGACGUCAAAGCGUAUACAAAGUCGAGUCGGUUUAAGGAUACGUUCGUUGGGUAGGGGAGCGUUCUGUAAGCCUGCGAAGGUGGCCUGUGAGGGUUGCUGGAGGUAUCAGAAGUGCGAAUGCUGACAUAAGUAACGAUAAAGCGGGUGAAAAGCCCGCUCGCCGGAAGACCAAGGGUUCCUGUCCAACGUUAAUCGGGGCAGGGUGAGUCGACCCCUAAGGCGAGGCCGAAAGGCGUAGUCGAUGGGAAACGGGUUAAUAUUCCCGUACUUGGUGUUACUGCGAAGGGGGGACGGAGAAGGCUAUGUUGGCCGGGCGACGGUUGUCCCGGUUUAAGCGUGUAGGCUGGUUUUCCAGGCAAAUCCGGAAAAUCAAGGCUGAGGCGUGACGACGAGGCACUACGGUGCUGAAGCAACAAAUGCCCUGCUUCCAGGAAAAGCCUCUAAGCAUCAGGUAACACGAAAUCGUACCCCAAACCGACACAGGUGGUCAGGUAGAGAAUACCAAGGCGCUUGAGAGAACUCGGGUGAAGGAACUAGGCAAAAUGGUGCCGUAACUUCGGGAGAAGGCACGCU